CCGCCCCAGUCGCCGCCCCGAGGCUGUCGCGGGCGGUUGGGACCGCGGAGCCUUUCCUUCGCCGGCCGCCCGCGAUGCCGAUCACCUACAGCUGCAUCGCACGUGGCCGAGCGGUCCUAGCGGAGCUGGCCCUGACCGGCGGCUCAUACCAGGUACCCCUGCGGCGGCACUUCGGCCUUCGCCGGUUCCACCCGCCGCUCGGGCCUCGGCGCUGAGGGGCUGCCCUGAGCGGGCUGUGGGGGCGCGAGGCCCCGCCCCCGAGAGCGGCCUGUCCAGUGAGACGGGGAAUCCCUGCCCCGAGCCGCUCCCGCUCCGAACGGCAGAGCCGCCAGUGCGCCGCCCAGCGGUUGGGGCUGGUGCUGCACGCCACCUGCUUGGCGGUCGCUUCCUGUUUAAUUCCAGAGACCCUUCAAGAUGUUCUCUCCCCCCAGACAUGGCCUGCGAUUCAACGCACAUUUAUUGAAUACAUGUUAGUCGCACAAUCCCGGAGUAAAGGAGGCAGCAGCAACAGUGCUUAAACUGGUGCUUCUUAGAGCAGAACCGAAGACCAUGAUUCAAAUGGGAAGCUUUGUCUACCAUACUCUCUCUGUUGAUGGAAUCACUUACCUAUGUGCCUCAGACAAUGCCUUGGAUACUAUAACACCAGCUGCGUUUCUUAAAAAUGUUAGUGAGAGUCUUCUGAGAAAUCCUUUGAUGUCACAAGAACAUUUUUCUCCUUCAAAUGCAGCUGCUGCAGAUUUUCAACAAGUAUUAGGAAAAUACAUGAUGAAAUACAAUAAAAGUCAAGAUGACAGCUCGAUAUCCACGCUGAGAAGUCAAGUAACUGAUGUUAAAAAUGUCAUGACUCAAAAUAUCGAUAAAAUUUUGGAAAGCGAAGAAAGACUGAAUAUCUUCACUGCUAGAACAGACAAUCUGCAAAUAACUGCCGAGGAAUCGCAAAAGACAAGAACGAUUUGGAGGAGGAUGUGGUGGAAACACAUCAAAAAGAUUCUAAUCAUCCCCGUGGCAGUUCUCCUUUCAGUCAUCAUCAUCCUUCUAAGUACAAAUGUGAUACCAACCUGACCUCCUCCUCAUCCCAGCAGGUACCAUAAACUGCUCGCGUCAUCCUAGAGUCCUACUCUCUGUGGUUACGGAAGCAUUCUCUAGGGUAGGAGGAGUGGAGAAGAGAGGGUGGAAUUACGUCCUUGUCCCUUUCGUGUCCCUAGAUUCUUGUCUUUGUACCUCUUCCAUUUCUGUAGUCUCAUUUCUUUUUUUUUUUUACCACCGCUCCUCUACUCUUCUCUUUAAUAUACAAACGCAAACCCUGGAAUCAGACUGGCCACGCUCCACCUCUCCACUCUGCCACCAUACCACCUAGGUGACCUUGGACAAGUUAGUGAACCUGUGCCCUCGCUCCCUCGUCUGUCAGGUGGAGCCAGUAAUGAUAAUACUGCGUGGAGUUGCUGUCCACACACAGUACAUGCUCUCUAAGCAUUAACCAUUACCUACCAGGAAAGGACGGUUGCAUUUACAGCAUUAAGUCCCGGGAUCUUGCUCUGUACUCAGAAAUGAACUUAACACUCCUUUAGAAAUGAGAAGAAGCUCAACAGUUCAGUCCAGUCCAGAUAUGCAUUCACCUCUUCUACACAGCCUUUCACUCGAAAUGAAAAUUCAAACCGUCGUUUUAUACUAGGCAUUUCUUUGGGUAAAGAUUAAAAAAAAUUAGUAAACUAUCAUUUCUCUAAUAAAUCACAGGUAUGUCUUCC